rnacentral:rRNA from 1 species
UGAACGCUGGCGGCGUGCUUAACACAUGCAAGUCGAACGAGAACGGUCCUUCGGGAUGUCAGCUAAGUGGCGCACGGGUGAGUAAUAUAUAGUUAACCUGCCCCAAAGAAGAGAAUAAUUGUUGGAAACGACUUGUAAUGCUCUAUAUGCCUUUAUCACAUAAGUGAGCAAGGGAAACAUUUAUGGCUUUGGGAUGGGACUGUACGGUAUCAGUUAGUUGGUGAGGUAAUGGCUCACCAAGACUAUGACGCCUAACUGGUUUGAGAGGAUGAUCAGUCACACUGGAACUGAGACACGGUCCAGACUCCUACGGGAGGCAGCAGUGGGGAAUAUUGCACAAUGGAGGAAACUCUGAUGCAGCAACGCCGCGUGGAGGAUGACACAUUUCGGUGCGUAAACUCCUUUUAUAUGAGAAGAUAAUGACGGUAUCAUAUGAAUAAGCACCGGCUAACUCC